rnacentral:rRNA from 1 species
UACAGGGGGUGCAAACGUUUGCUCGGAAUUAUUGGGGCGUAAAGCGCGCGUAGGCGGCUACUUAAGUCGGAUGUGAAAGCCCUUGGCUCAACUGAGGAAGUGCACCCGAAACUGAGUGGCUAGAGUACGAAAGAGGGUCGCGGAAUUCCCGGUGUAGAGGUGAAAUUCGUAGAUAUCGGGAGGAACACCGGUGGCGAAGGCGGCGACCUGGGUCGAUACUGACGCUGAUGCGCGAAAGCGUGGGGAGCAAACAGG